GUGGUGAAAGAUAAAUAUGGUAUGAUCUCACCUUUAACUGAAACCUAAUCAACAAAACAAACAAGCAAGCAAAAUAUAACCAAAGACAUUGAAAUUGCGAACAUGCUGAUAGUAACCAGAUGGGAGAUGGAUGGGGAGAAGGGUUUUCAGGAACUAGUAAUAAGG